rnacentral:lncRNA from 1 species
AUAAGCGAUGUAGCAGAUCAAAAUUACUUCAAUUUUUGUAUUAUUAUCAGCAGAUAUCUAUCUAAUAGUUUAGAGAAAUUCAUCUAAGCAUGGAGUUAGAAAAAUACAUGAAUCUUGGAACAAAGCUUGCCUCUAUACCUAAGCUGCAAUUUUGCACUUAAGUAUAACAUAAAAGGAUCAUUUUUUUGUGGGUAAAUAUCAUG